CACAGUGCACCUAUUCGGCCAACGGCGGCGGCACAUACACUUGAUCACUAUAAACAAAUCAUUUGUGCAGAUCGUCCGGCAAAAGCUGAAGGUUCACACGUUGUCCUCGACGGAAAGCCGAAAUAUUACUACUUCUCUUUACAUUUCCAUACCUGUCGUCUCCUGCCUACAUGAACUUCAAAGAAAACGCAGAUUGUUCCAUUGCGUGCGGUAAUUUUUCCCUCUCCUGCUUCAAGCAAUGUUUUACACAUCUGAAGCACAGCUUCGACCAUUGUAUCAAAUACUGCAAAUAUUACAUGAAGCAAUGCGAUUUCUUCUGCUUUUGUAUAGAUUGUAAAGGCAGCUUGCGGCCACCAAAUCCUAGACGAUUCGUUUAUACAAAACUAACUAAAUCAAGACUAACUAAAUCUCGAAAACCUUCAGAGGAAAUAUCUAAUCUUUCUAAACCUAAAGGAAAGUCCUUGGAAUAAAUUUUGUUCAUGAAA